rnacentral:lncRNA from 1 species
AAGGACUCAAAAAUUGGAUAGCUGCCCUUUUGUUAACUUUUAACAUACCUACUGACUGAUAAUGCAUUCACUGAAUUCCCCUGAUGUGGCAUCGAACCAUGUCUUGGGAAUGCUUUGGCAAUUUUAUCUGAAAAAGACUAUACAUAUUUCCAACAAUUGUUAUGUAAAAAGAUUAAAUUCAAAGCUUAAUAAGUCAAUAUAAGACAUAAAUGUUCUCCACCGACCGAAUCAUAAUUGUAAAUAUUUGGUCAUUUCAUAUUGUUAUAUCAAUACAGGUUAUAUGCAUAUACAAAUAUACAAAAUAGUAAGUACUAGAAUAAAUGUAUAACAUCAGCACACAUUUUAAAAUAAAGCUAUGCAUGCUAUGAUUCGUUCAAUAUUGUAGACACUACAAAGGGUUAUGUAGAUUUUGAAUACUAAACCUAUUAAUCCUAGCUUGCCGCUUUGUAUAUCUAGAUAGCUAACAAAAAGUAAAAUCACAAAAAUACAAAAAUACAGAACUCAGAGGAAAAUCAAAUCGGAAAAUCCCCAAAUACAUGGCAAAAUCAAAAGACAAAACACAUCAAAAACUAAAGGACAACAACUGUCAUAUUCCUGAUCAUGACUUGGUACAGGCAUUUAGAAAUGUAGAAAACGGUGGAUUAAACCUGGUUACAUAGCGCUAAACCUCUCACUUUGUACGACAGUCUCAUCAAAUUCCAUUUAUUCCAUAUGAAUCUAUAGAAUCAAAUAAGGUGAUGGAUUGAUUUAAAUUCGUAUAAAACACACGAUACAUAUAGGCAUAUUUGUUUAAGAACGCGUACGGGACUAAUACACAGGCUGGCACUCUGUUUAAACAUAGCAGAGGAACGUCUGUAAAUAUCUGUAAAUACCUCCGCCCUGUCCC